AUUGAUUUGGCAGAAUUUAGUGCAUUAAAUUUAGGUUUUAAUAAAGUAAGUAUUUUUACAUUCAAUA
rnacentral:tRNA from 1 species